AUACUAUAUUGUGAGCUAAGGAGAGUGAGGUAGGAAAAUGCAUAAUCAGGGUGCUGCUGGCUGGAGAAAACUACUCAGUGCCUUUGAAGACAGCUCUAGUUAAGGUUCAAGAGCAGCCACUGCUAGCAUAAUUACUAUCAAUGAAAGUGGCAACACCCGUGGUGAGUUCCCAGAAUAGCUGAGAUUCUAAUUGAUAACACACAGAGAACACAAGCAAAUCAGAAAGGACAAAAGGCUAUUAAUUUUGAGUAUAAACUACAUGAAAUGAAAAUGAAGACAAGGAAAAUGUGUUUUAACAGAAAGAAAGGACUCUGUGCUCAGAAUCGGCUUCUUCCUUUUAUGGGAACUAAGGAAUGGCUGUUUCUCCUGGGAGAAUUAAGAAUUAAAGGCAGACUCUGGAGCUGUGUCAGUAUCCUCCCACAGAAUGAGUAUGGGGAAAUACUCUGCUGGGAAUCAUGACAGAUAAAAACUUAUGAGGAAGAACAAAACAUCAAGAGAGCCUGUCAAAAGCUGUGCCCUCCUCUUUAACCCAAAAGCCUGUGCUGAACCUUUUUCAUUGUCUUCAAAUGUUAUUAAAUAUCUUGUCUGUUGUUUUAAAGAGACCAAAACCAGUCUGGUUUCUUUAUAAGAGAAAACCCAGUCUUUGGGUAAAGUCACAAUGAUACUACACAUGCUUACAUGGUUUUGGUUAAUAGAAGUGUCAAGUUCUAAGGAGGUAUGAUUUCUAAACAGGAACAAAAUAAUUAUUACUUUCAUUUUACUAAUGAAACAACUUCUAGAGUUGCAGUGAGAGUAUUGGCCAGGAAGAAAAAAUACAAGCCUGGAGUCCUUUAAGAAUGGACUCCUUGGGGCAGCCCGGGUGGCUCAGCGGUUUAGUGCCACCUUCAGCCCAGGGCAGGAUCCUGGAGACCCAGAAUCAAGUCCCACAUCGGGCUCCCUGCAUGGAGCCUGCUUCUCCCUCUGC
rnacentral:lncRNA from 1 species